CCUACGGGAGGCUGCAGUGGGGAAUAUUGCGCAAUGGGCGAAAGCCUGACGCAGCGACGCCGCGUGAGGGAUGAAGGUCUUCGGAUCGUAAACUUCUGUCAGCAGGGAAGAACGGUCACUGUGCUAAUCAGCAGUGACUUGACGGUACCUGCAAAGGAAGCACCGGCUAACUCCGUGCCAGCAGCCGUGGUAAUACGGAGGGUGCGAGAGUUCAUCGGAAUUACUGGGCGUAAAGCGCUCGUAGGCGGUAUGGCAAGUCAAGUGUGAAAUCCACGGGCUCAACGUGGGAACUGCAUUUGAAACUGGCAAACUAGAGUGUGGGAGAGGAGAGGGGAAUUCCAGGUGUAGGAGUGAAAUCCGUAGAUAUCUGGAGGAACAGCAGUGGCGAAGGCGACUAUCUGGCACAUAACUGACGCUGAGGAGCGAAAGCGUGGGUAGCAAACAGGAUUAGAUACCCCAGUAGUC
rnacentral:rRNA from 1 species